GGCAGUUCUCGGGUGACGCACCCCUGAAUUGGACUCCCUCCUCUCUGGUUCCGGGUGCAUCACCCAAGAACCGCA
rfam:Myotis lucifugus cont2.19010, whole genome shotgun sequence.